GGGAAACUCACCAGGUCCGGACAUAGUAAGGAUUGACAGAUUGAAAGCUCUUUCUUGAUUCUAUGGGUGGUGGUGCAUGGCCGUUCUUAGUUGGUGGAGUGAUUUGUCUGGUUGAUUCCGUUAACGAACGAGAUCUCCGCCUACUAAAUAGUCACGCGAAUCCGUUUGGAUUGGCGGGCGACUUCUUAGAGGGACACUUGGCGUUUAGUCAAGGGAAGUUGGAGGCAAUAA
rnacentral:rRNA from 1 species